rnacentral:ncRNA from 1 species
UUAGGUAGAGGUGCGGCUGAGAUCAGUACCCGAAUCCUGUGGGUCACCUGCCUGAGAGGAUUCGGUGAAAGGCGAUGCUGCCGAAGAGCAGUUUUUGGUAAACUCUGCUCUGGUCACAGGUCGAAAAGGCUUGCGACUGUCAUCAUACAAUGAUGGAGAGCUAUCGG